UUUUAUGGAGAGUUUGAUCCUGGCUCAGGAUGAACGCUGGCGGCGUGCCUAAUACAUGCAAGUCGAGCGAACAGACGAGGAGCUUGCUCCUCUGACGUUAGCGGCGGACGGGUGAGUAACACGUGGAUAACCUACCUAUAAGACUGGGAUAACUUCGGGAAACCGGAGCUAAUACCGGAUAAUAUAUUGAACCGCAUGGUUCAAUAGUGAAAGACGGUUUUGCUGUCACUUAUAGAUGGAUCCGCGCCGCAUUAGCUAGUUGGUAAGG
rnacentral:rRNA from 1 species